CUAGUACUCCCUCCGUCCGAAAAUACUUGUCAUCAAAAUGGAUAAAAAGGGAUGUAUCUAGAACUAAAAUACAUCUAGAUACAUCCUUUUUUAUUCAUUUCGAUGACAAGUAUUUCCGGACGGAGGGAGUACCAC
rnacentral:pre_miRNA from 1 species